rnacentral:rRNA from 1 species
GAGUAACACGUGGGUAACCUGCCCUUAAGUGGGGGAUAACAUUUGGAAACAGAUGCUAAUACCGCAUAAAUCCAAGAACCGCAUGGUCUUGGCUGAAAGAUGGCGUAAGCUAUCGCUUUUGGAUGGACCCGCGGCGUAUUAGCUAGUUGGUGAGGUAACGGCUCACCAAGGCAAUGAUACGUAGCCGAACUGAGAGGUUGAUCGGCCACAUUGGGACUGAGACACGGCCCAAACUCCUACGGGAGGCAGCAUG